rnacentral:misc_RNA from 1 species
GUUUUGGUAUCUUUUUUUGGAGGCUAUCAUAUGGUACUGUUUUGUGCCUUUAUUUUAUAUUCUUUUUUAAUUUGAUUUUUUGGGUUCUUUUUAUUCCUGGGUAUUUUCAAUUGGGUAUGCUUUAAUAUUCUUAUGCGCACGGCUUGUUAGUCUAACGGAAAGAGGAGGUUUUGUUUGUCAAGGUGGCUUCUUUGAUGCUGUGAGAAUUUUCCCCUUCAUCUGUCUCUAAAAUUUGGAAAAUUUUUCGUCUCAAUUUCAAAAUUU